UACACUCCUGCGGGAGGCAGCAGUGGGGAAUUUUGGACAAUGGGCGAAAGCCUGAUCCAGCAAUGCCGCGUGAGUGAAGAAGGCCUUCGGGUUGUAAAGCUCUUUUGUCAGGGAAGAAACGGUGAGAGCUAAUAUCUUUUGCUAAUGACGGUACCUGAAGAAUAAGCACCGGCUAACUACGUGCCAGCAGCCGCGGUAAUACGUAGGGUGCAAGCGUUAAUCGGAAUUACUGGGCGUAAAGCGUGCGCAGGCGGUUUUGUAAGUCUGAUGUGAAAUCCCCGGGCUCAACCUGGGAAUUGCAUUGGAGACUGCAAGGCUAGAAUCUGGCAGAGGGGGGUAGAAUUCCACGUGUAGCAGUGAAAUGCGUAGAUAUGUGGAGGAACACCGAUGGCGAAGGCAGCCCCCUGGGUCAAGAUUGACGCUCAUGCACGAAAGCGUGGGGAGCAAACAGGAUUAGAUACCCCAGUAGUCCCAUG
rnacentral:rRNA from 1 species